UGGCUCGAUUGGUAGAGCAUGGUGUUUGCAACGCCAGGGUUGUGGGUUCGAUUCCCAC
rnacentral:tRNA from 1 species